CCUGACAGUCCCGCCCACAGCGAUCAUUCUUCGACUUCCGCCGCUCUCUCCGACCCUGACUCAGCCUCCCAUCAGAAGGUGUCCGUAAACUUUCAGACUGUCAAAGAAGUCCAUGACACGAAAAACAUGAGGAAACUCUGCAGUGAAGGCUGCUCCACCCAUUCACAGAUCGACACACCACACCAGCCCCUCCAGUCAGAAUUUUAUUUGGAAACAUCACUGUGAGCCCUGGCCCCGUGCUACACAGCACCACUGGAAACACAUGUUCAACAUGUUCCCAAAUCAUACAAUUCUUACUAAUACCAGGACACUACAGCAAUCUUGAAUUUCAAAUUAUCACAUCCAAGGAAUUCUCAGCACUUGACACAACCCCACAGUGCAAUAAUCUACCUAUAUUUAAGAUUAAUAUAUAGCAUGGGAAAUUGAAAAUUCUUGCUCCAUAAACGUUAUGAACAUGUCAAAUCUUUAUAAAUAAACAUCCAGUGAAGA